ensembl:snRNA Gm23590 predicted gene, 23590
GUAACCCUUCUGCAGCACAGGUAUUAAAACUUGGAACAACACAGAGACCCACAUGGCCCCUGUGUGAGGACAAUAUACAAGUUCAUGAAGUGUUCCAUAUUUUA